rnacentral:rRNA from 1 species
AUUGAACGCUGGCGGCAUGCCUUACACAUGCAAGUCGAACGGUAACAGGUCUUCGGAUGCUGACGAGUGGCGAACGGGUGAGUAAUACAUCGGAACGUGCCCGAGAGGGGGGGAUAACGAGGCGAAAGCUUUGCUAAUACCGCAUACGAUCUCAGGAUGAAAGCAGGGGACCGCAAGGCCUUGCGCUCACGGAGCGGCCGAUGGCAGAUUAGGUAGUUGGUGGGAUAAAAGCUUACCAAGCCGACGAUCUGUAGCUGGUCUGAGAGGACGACCAGCCACACUGGGACUGAGACACGGCCCAGACGCCUACGGGAGGCAGCAGUGGGGAAUUUUGGACAAUGGACGCAAGUCUGAUCCAGCCAUGCCGCGUGCGGGAAGAAGGCCUUCGGGUUGUAAACCGCUUUUGUCAGGGAAGAAAAGGCUUCUGCUAAUACCGGAGGCUCAUGACGGUACCUGAAGAAUAAGCACCGGCUAACUACGUGCCAGCAGCCGCGGUAACAC